UACGUAGGGUGCGAGCGUUAAUCGGAAUUACUGGGCGUAAAGCGUGCGCAGGCGGUGAGCUGUGUCCGAUGUGAAAGCCCCGGGCUUAACCUGGGAAUGGCAUUGGAAACUGGCUCGCUGGAGUGUGGCAGAGGGGGGUGGAAUUCCGCGUGUAGCAGUGAAAUGCGUAGAGAUGCGGAGGAACACCGAUGGCGAAGGCAGCUUGCUGGCAUGUAUCUGACGCUAAGGCACGAAAGCGUGGGAGCGAACAGG
rnacentral:rRNA from 1 species